UCCUCCACUUUCUAAAGGAGCACAGAGGAAGAGAGAAUAAGGAUGCUUUUUCUCAAGAGGAAUAUUUUGUAGAAAUGUGAAGAAAACAACAAUAUAUUUUCCCAGUAAAGAGCCUUUGUGCCAUUCAAACCUCAGAUGAGGAGCUGAAGCCAGAUAGGCAGUUACUUGCCCAAGGUCAUCCUGUUACACUGUUUCUCAAAGCAUCCUUCUGGGGCCUGCAGUCUCGUCGUCACCCGGGAAUUUGUUAGGAAUGCAAAUUCCCAGUUUCCACUCCAGACCUCCUGAAUCAGAAGCUCUGGGGAUAGGGCUCAGCAGUCUGUGUUUUAAAGCCCUACGGGCAUGAUCUUCGGAAGCUUGCAGGACAGACGACUUGUCUUCCUUUGGGUCUCUCUCAGAGCUCACAAAUGGGGACCAGGCAGGUGCCCAGAAUGAGUGGAAGACAAACAGCAAAGCUGUUGAUAACCAGGAACCAGAGGCCCCGCCAAAGGGGGCAGCUCUUUCUCACCUCUGGCCAGUUGGCGCUGCAUUGGAAUUCACACCCAGCAGUU